rnacentral:rRNA from 1 species
AUUGAACGCUGGCGGUAUGCUUAACACAUGCAAGUCGAACGGUAGCAGCUCUAGCUUGCUAGAGGCUGACGAGUGGCGGACGGGUGAGUAAAGCGUAGGAAUCUACCCAUCAGUAGAGGACAACUCGGGGAAACUCGGGCUAAUACUGUAUAUUACUCUACGGAGGAAAGUGAGGGACCUUAUGGCCUCACGCUGAUGGAUGAGCCUGCGUCGGAUUAGCUUGUUGGUAGGGUAAAGGCCUACCAAGGCGACGAUCCGUAGCUGUUCUGAGAGGAAGAUCAGCCACACUGGGACUGAGACACGGCCCAGACUCCUACGGGAGGCAGCAGUGGGGAAUAUUGGACAAUGGGGGCAACCCUGAUCCAGCAAUACCGCGUGUGUGAAGAAGGCCUGCGGGUUGUAAAGCACUUUCGUUAGGGAGGAAGGCCUAUGCGUUAAUAGCGUAUAGGAUUGACGUUACCUAAAGAAGAAGCACCGGCUAACUCUGUG